rnacentral:lncRNA from 1 species
GUGGAACCCCUCCAAGUACCCCUACUACACCCACCCCACCAACUACUCCUAUCAUUGGCCCAGGCACGCCAAGCACUCCUGGCGUCUCUGUACCAUCACCUCCAUUUAAUCCCAAUUCACCACCUUCUCGAGGUGGUUACUAUCCCUCCCCUCCAACUUAUGGUGGAAUUCCUCCAAGUAUUCCUACACCUAGCACCCCGUCCACACCAACCAUUGUAACCCCACCAACUACUCCUAUAAUUGGCCCAGGCACCCCAAGCACCCCUGGGAUAUCCACGCCUUCAGCUCCAUUUGACCCCUAUUCACCACCUUCGGGCGGUUACAUCUAUCCCUCC